UUCGCCUCGCCCCCGGGCUGCCCUCAGCGCCGCCUGAUUGCAUUUGCGGCCUUGCUGCCUCAUCCCAGGCUGAGCUCCGCGCGCAAAGCCGUGCGGAGAUUGGAGGCCGCGCGGGUCCCUGGUCUAAGCCAUGUCUGGCUGUGACGCUCGGGAAGGAGACUGUUGUUCCCGGAGAUGCGGCGCGCAGGACAAGGAGCAUCCAAGAUACCUGAUUCCAGAACUUUGCAAACAGUUUUACCAUUUGGGCUGGGUCACUGGGACUGGAGGAGGAAUUAGCUUGAAGCAUGGCGAUGAAAUCUACAUUGCUCCUUCAGGAGUGCAAAAGGAACGAAUUCAGCCUGAAGACAUGUUUGUGUGUGAUAUAAAUGAAAAGGACAUAAGUGGACCUUCGCCAUCUAAGAAGCUAAAGAAAAGCCAGUGUACUCCUCUUUUCAUGAAUGCUUACACAAUGAGAGGAGCAGGUGCAGUGAUUCAUACCCACUCUAAAGCUGCUGUGAUGGCCACCCUUCUCUUUCCAGGACGGGAGUUUAAAAUUACACAUCAAGAGAUGAUAAAAGGAAUAAAGAAAUGUACUUCUGGAGGGUAUUAUAGAUAUGAUGAUAUGUUAGUGGUACCCAUUAUUGAGAAUACACCUGAGGAGAAGGACCUCAAAGAUAGAAUGGCUCAUGCAAUGAAUGAAUACCCAGACUCCUGUGCAGUACUGGUCAGACGUCACGGAGUAUAUGUGUGGGGGGAAACGUGGGAGAAGGCCAAAACCAUGUGUGAGUGUUAUGACUAUUUAUUUGAUAUUGCCGUAUCAAUGAAGAAAGUAGGACUUGAUCCUUCACAGCUCCCAGUUGGAGAAAAUGGAAUCGUUUAAGCCAAAAGAAAGUCUAUACGGAGAUAAAGCUAAACGUCCCUCCCACAACACAGAAUUAUGGGAGCUACAAGAUGAGAUUUGCGUGGGGACACAGAGCCAAACCAUAUCAUCCAGCAUCCAGGAAGAAUCAGGUCACUCAGACUUGAAGGAUGAAAACUUCUGUGACCUCUGGUUACCAAGAUGGAUGUCGGGGAUUUUUCCCCACCAGCAACCAAUUCUGCAGCAGACACCAUCUGCUGGGUGUCCUCCAAUCCAAUUUCAACAAUAUCUAACUGGAAACGGCAUCAGAUUCCACAGGUUGAAGGUUGAGUCCCAGAAGGCUGCCCUCCACUUCCGAUGCCUAUUGCAAGCCCCAGGUUAUGACCUGUGCUUCUGACUCACCUGCUAUAAAUUGGGAUAUCCACCAUUCCCUCCUUGGGUGUAAUUAUCUUGCUGCAGUGGCUCACAGAACUCAGGGAAACACAUUUACCAGUUUAUUAUAAAGGAUAUUAUAAAGAGCACAGAUGAAGACGUGCACAGGGCAAGGCACAGGGGAAGCACGUGCAGGGCUUCCAUAUCCUCUCCAGGCAUGCCAUCCUCUAGAAGCCUAUACUUGUUCAGGUAUCUGGAAGUUUAUCCAGACUCUGUCCUUUUGGGCUUUUAUGGGUGCUUCAUUAUGUAGGCAUGAUUGAUUAAAUCGCUGGCCAUUGGUAAUCAACUCAACCUUCAGCCCCUUUUUCCCUCCCUGGAGGUUAGGAAGUGGGGCUGAAAGUUUCAACCCUCUAAUCCUGCCUUGGUCUUUCUGGUGACCAGCCCCCAUCCUGAAGCUACCUGGAGACUGCCAGCCAUCAGUCAAUCAUUAGCAUACAAAAAGACACAUCACUUUGAAGAGUCCAAGGAUUUUUAGGAGUUGUAUGCCAGGAAACCUGAGACAAAGAUAAAAUAUAUAUUUCACAACAUAGGAUAAGAUAAUAUUAAAAUUUACAUAAUAAGAUGUGGGAGGAAAGGGAAAGAAAGGAAGAAAUAGAAAUACAGAUAUUAAAGUUGAAGGGUGAGAUUAAAGCUAAAACAAAAUUAAAGCCACGUGUUGGUAGAUAAACUAUUCAGAUUUUGUGCCAAAUAAAGUGGCAAUUCCUUAACAAACCAAUUUAUUACUAUUACUAUUUAUCUCAUGCUGAACAGUGUCAUUGUCUGGGGUAAAUAUCCGAGAUUCAUUGUCUCAUGGUCAUGGAAAACUAGGACAUGGACACACAAAGAGUGAGGUUCAGAGCGGAAGUGUAGUAGGUGAAAGAAAGAGAAGUGGGUUGUCACUUAUGUGGUGAAGUGCAGGAGGUUUUAUAGAUGACCUAUAUUGAGUAGGCGGUGUUUGAUUUACAUGGGGCAUGGAAGAUUGGUCAGACCAGGUGUGCCAUUUGCAUAGCGCAUGAAAAUCUGGCUGCCCCCCACCUCCACUCUAAUAUUUUACUAUGCAGAUAGAUUCUCUACCUGGCCAGCGCUAUGUUGCCUGUUCCCUUACUGCAAAUGUGGCCACAAAGAAAAGGGAAGAUGGAGCCUCCAUGCUGAACAUGCCUGGCCCCAGGUAGCCCUUUUCUAUUGGAGAACUGCUGGCAUUCACCGUGCAAGUUUCCAGCUUGCUUAUCAAUGUCUGCAGUUCAAUUUUUCAGGCUUAUUUUUGUUAGAAAUUAUUUGGGAGCUCCUUUUUGUUAAAAGGGGAAUCUUGCUGAGGAGUCUUGUGCCCUCAUUAUCUGCCUAAAUAAUCUCUUUCUAGCUCCUGUAUCAAUGCUAACAGGUUGACUAUUUGGGGUUAGAUUUAAAAAUAAGAGCAUAAAUUUGGUAGGAGAAUUUAAAUAUUUUUACUCCUUUGGUUAACAAGAGAUAUGGUAGAGAAAUUAUUUAGAUCUGUGAAAACUCUAAAGUUAUUUCCACUUUUUAAUUGAUUUUUCAGCUUAAAUUCAUGUGUGUAAUAAACAUGUACAUUUAACACGAUUUUAAAAAUUCAAAAUGUACAUAUUCAAAAUCUAAAAUAUAUCCUUACAGUAAUUUUUCCUCCCACCCUGUUCUGGUCACCCGCUUCCUCUCUUUGGAGGCAACCACAGUAUCAAUUUCUUGCACAUCCCUCCACAGAUGGUCUAUGCAAAUAUAAAAAUAUAUCUACACAUAUCUGCAUUGGACACAAGGAUUCACCACCCAGAUCCCUUUUCAUGGGAGGACUUAUUGCUUCAACUCUUAGGAGUGCUGUCAGCCCCAUUCAGAGAUCUCAGCUGCAGAUUUGCUUACCCAGGGCCAUGCCCUUCCCAGGGAAGCCCACAUCCAGUGACUGAGGGAGCAGGAGUACAAGGACUCAGGCAUUUCAGCCUGAUGCUGGACAUGUCUGAUGUGCCAAAUUUAGUUCCAGAGCUCUCCCUGGGGCAGCUGAGGCUCUCAGGCCUGUAUCGCAGCUUGACUGCUCCUCAAUUCGAUCCUGCUUCUGCUUCCUGCCUUUCACAGGCAGGGCCACCAACAGACCCGGUUUUCCUAGGACUGAGGGGAUUUCCAGGAUGCUGGAUUUUCAGCGCUAAAACUAAGGCUGUUUCAGGAAAAUUGGGACAAAUGAGUCAUCCUAUCCACAUGCGUUGAUACCGAGGACAUAACCUAAUAGUGACAUCCUGCAUACUAAACUUUCUCUCAGAGGCUGCUUCCUGGGGAACCUCAGCCUGUGACAGUCAGUAGCAAGAGUGGUCUAAGAAAGUAGGUGAUAAGCUAGCUUUGGAGCUGAGUAUCUUACCACCAAGUUGACAUUGAGGACCCCAUCUAGAGGUGGGUGGGGUAGAUAGCCCCUGGCAUAAGGUGAUGGUCCAAUUAUUGAAACUUUCACCAAUGGUGAAGUGGGAUAGCACACUAAGGAAGGGAAAACACCAGUACACACCAUAUGUCAGGCAUUUGAAAAUUAUGGAGGAAAUAGUCACAACAAUGACAGUGGGAGUGGAUGAUUACUGUGAUUGUUGCUUUGUUAAAGAUAACGAAAGGCUGAGACUGAUUAAUGGGCAAUUAAAAGUGAAGAGUGGAAGCCAGAGGGCUUCCUUGAUAGCCAAGAGACUCUUCUGCAGUAGGAAAGCAGAGAAAGCUGAAGAACAGGCUCAGGUUUUAAUCAUCAGAAUACCUGAGAUUCAGAAUGUUAUACUCCCAACUAAGGCAGGUCUACCAUGACAAGGCCAAGGCCCUUGUUGGGAAAAAAUAGGACUCUGACACAAGGGAUGGGGAAACUAGCAUUGAUGGCUCUGAAAAUCUUUAAUGCUCAGAUUCUUGCACUUCCCAGACCUGCAAAAGUGAAUUCCCUCCCUGUCAAGAGCAGCACUCCUUCCUUGCCUCUCCAGCUCUGGGCAACAUAUAAUGUCCGCAGCAUCUGUUUUCACUUCCCCUUCUGGCCACUAGGUGCAUAACCAGGGUUAAGUCACAGAAUAACCCAACCAGGGUUGCGCUAGGUCUGACAAGAAAAGAAAGAGUCCCCAAAGAAGCUGCAAUGCCUAACUAGCAGGUACCAGCAGGCGCCACAGGAGGUCCAUGGAAAUGAACCCCAAGAGUGCUCAAUCAGGAAAGCUGGGACAUAAGGCUGGUUAUGAAAGAGUUUAUUUAUUUUCCUAAAAUACAAGAUUUAACACUUUGGCUAGGAUCCCAGCAGAUGGGCCCAACCUGCUACAUAGAUGGCUCCUAGAAGUGUGGCAAAAGCAAGGACCCAUGCUGAGUGAAACUAAGAUAUAAGAAUUUCCAUAGCACAUGGUGGAAGAAUAGAUUAAAAGAUGUAGGGAAGUGGGCAGGCUGGAGUGGAUGUACCGUGUAAGGCCAGAUAGCACACUAGAUUAUUACAGUUCAUGGGAAGGCCUGGACAUGCUAUUUAUCAAGGCUACAGAAAGCACUGGUGAAAGGGAUCCCAGCAUUACUAACUAUCCCAGGGUGAAGUAGGAGAGAUCGUUACAGCAUUCAGCUUACAGGUACCAAUGGUGAUAAGACCCCAAAACAAUAGAAAUCAAUAGACACCUGUCAGCAGCUUUUCACCGUCAAAAACCAGGUGAUACAAUUAUUUAAUAAUGAGUGGUAAGAUCAAAAUCACAGUCAAGGGGGCCUCAUCUGCAGAAUUACAUAGAUGAUUAAAACAACACAGCUUCAGGUUGGGCACGGUGGCUCACGCCUGUAAUCCCAGCACUUUGGAAGGCUGAAGCGGGUGGAUCACUUGAGGUCAAGAGUUUGAGACCAGCCUGGCAAACAUGGUAAAACCCCUGUCUCUACUAAAAAUACAAAAAUUAGCCAAGCAUCGUGGUGCAUGCCUGUAGUUCCAGCUACUCAGGAGGCUGAGGCAGAAGAAUUGCUUGAACCUAGGAGGCAGUGGUUGCAGUGAGCAAAGAUAGUGCCACCACACUCCAGCCUGGGUGACAGAGUGAGAUUCUGUCUCAAAAAAAAAAGAAAAAGAAAAAAGAAAAAAAAACCCCAGCAUCCACAGGAGCAAAACAGAGAGACAGUCCACAAAGGCACCCCAAAAUAAUAUUCAGAGGCCCGGCACUCAACUUGUACCUUGAGAAGAAAUCAAGACUAGAUGAUCAGGAGGCUGAAUGCAGUCACCCCAGUAAAAACACAAUCUCUUAUCCAGUUUCAUGACCUCAAUUGUUAUCUGGACCCAGAACCCACUGAUGAAAAAAGAGGAUAGUCUCCAGAUAAAAUGACUUUGCAACACCAUGGCAACGCAAGAGAUAUUGAUUCAGUCCUCUCCCCAAGGGGCCUAUGGAUAACUCUACACUGGGGGCAGAGGGAAUACCCCAAGCAUGUGAUUACUGUUGGACAUAGAAUAUGAGGUGAUAUUGAUAGCUGGAGACCUGAAAUGCCAUCUUGAUCCUCCCUAUUACAAGAUAAUCAUAUGGGACCAGUUUACAAGUGGACUAUUGACUGAGGUCUAGCUCACAGUGGGCCUACUUACUGAUCAUUUCCAAAUAUAUAAUUGGAAUAGACAUAGUUGUUAGAUGGUGCAGCUCCCACAUUGAAUCCUUGGCCUGUUGGGUAAAAGCAGCCUAUCAUAGCAGAGAAGGCCAAGUAGCAGCCUUUGAAAUUUCCAUCUACUCCCACCUUGCCCCCAGCCAAGAUACUAAAUACAAAACAAACUCAUAUCCUGGGAGAGAUGACAGAAAUUAAUGCUACCCUUAAGCAUCUAAAGGAGGCCAGAGUAGAGAUCCUCAUUUUAUCUCCACUUAAUUCACCAGUCUGGACCCCUCCAGAAAUUAGAUGGAUCUGUUGGAGCAUGAGAGUAGACUACACAAACACAGCUGUAGCUGCUGUGCCAGGUGUGGCACCUGUGCUAGAGCAGGUGAACAUGGCUUUGGGUACACAGCAUGGAGCCAGCCAUUUCUAUCAGAAAAAAAGAUCAGAAGCCAGCUGUAGUGGCUCACACUUACAGUCCCCACUGCUCAGGAGGCUGAGGCAGGAGUAUCACAUGAGCCCAGGAGUUAGAAGCCACAGUGAGCUAUGAUUGUACCACUGAACUCCAGCCUGGGCUAUAGAGCUAGAUCCUGUCUCUUAAAAAAGAAAAGACCAGAAACAGUUUAGUUUCAUGUGAAUAGGCAACAGAGCUAUAGUUUUCUCCAGGGCUGUGUUAGUUCUCACUCUUGUAAUACAGUCUGAAGAAAUUUGGGCUUUCUGAGUAUCUCACCGGACCUCAUAUUGAUCCACUACAUUGAUGACAUGGCGCUAAAUGGCUGAAUGAUCAAGAAACAGCUAGCAUCUGCUCCAGUGGUGGGAGGUAAGCCCUAGGAAGAUUCAGAAGCUCAAUAUCAGCGAAAUUUUUUAAAGAUCCAAUGAUGAUGGGCAUGCUAGCGUAUCCCACCCAAAGUGAAAGAUAGAUAUUACAUCUUGUACUCCCCAUUAGGAAGAAGGAAGCACAAUUCCUUGUAGACCUCUUUAGGUUCUGAAGUCAGCACAUUUCACACUUGGGAAUGUGGCUCCAGUCCAUGUGCUUGGUGUCUUGAAAGUUACCAUCAUUGAGGGAACCCAGAGCAGAAAAGGGCUUUGUAGUAACUCCUGAACAUUUGAGCCACUGACCCGGAAGACCGUAUUGUUUGAGUACCUGUAGUGGGAAAAGAUGUCAUGUUAGUUUAUGGUGAGUCCCAGUGGGACAAUCGUUAUGCAGAUUCCAGAUUUCUGGAGCAAAGCCAUGCCAUCUGCAAGGAAGAAUUAUUUGCCUUUUGAAAAACUCUAGUGUGCUACUGGGCCCUAAUAAAUAUGGAACUUGCCUCUGAGAUACCAAGGGUGAUGGUUAAUUUUAUAUGCCAACUUGGCCAGGCAACAAUGUCCAGAUAUUUGGGCAAACAUCAGUCUAGAUGUUGCUUUGAAGCUAUUUUUUAGAUAUGAUGGACACUUAAAUCAGUAGACUUUGAGUAAAGCAGAUUACCCCCCAUAAUAUGGGUGGGCUUUGUCCAAUCAGUUGAAGACUCUAAGGGAAAAGUUGGAGGUCCCCUGAGGAGAAAGAAAUUCUGCAUUCGUACUGCCUUUGGAUUUAAGAUUGCACAAGAUUGCAACAUCACCUUUUCCAUGUGUUUCCGAGAGCCUGCCGGCCUGCUCUGUAAAUUCUGAUGGUGCCUGCUCACACAGUCACAUGAGCCAAUUCCUUACAAUAAAUCUCUCUAUUUCCCCACUCUGUGUG